rnacentral:rRNA from 1 species
GACGAACGCUGGCGGCGUGCUUAACACAUGCAAGUCGAACGGAAAGGCCCUGCUUGCAGGGUACUCGAGUGGCGAACGGGUGAGUAACACGUGGGUGAUCUGCCCUGCACUUCGGGAUAAGCCGGGGAAACUGGGUCUAAUACCGGAUAGGAGCCAUUUUUAGUGUGAUGGUUGGAAAGUUUUUUCGGUGUAGGAUGAGCUCGCGGCCUAUCAGCUUGUUGGUGGGGUAAUGGCCUACCAAGGCGGCGACGGGUAGCCGGCCUGAGAGGGUGGACGGCCACAUUGGGACUGAGAUACGGCCCAGCCUCCUACGGGAGGCAGCAGUGGGGAAUAUUGCACAAUGGGCGCAAGCCUGAUGCAGCGCCGCCGCGUGGGGGAUGACGGCCUUCGGGUUGUAAACUCCUUUCGCUAGGGACGAAGCUUUUUGUGACGGUACCUAGAUAAGAAGCACCGGCUAACUACGUG